UACGUAGGUGGCAAGCGUUGUCCGGAUUUACUGGGCGUAAAGAGCGCGCCGGCGGUCGGAUAAGUCGAAUGUGAAAGCCCCCGGCUUAACUGGGGAGGGUCAUUCGAUACUGUUCGACUCGAAGGCAGGAGAGGGAAGUGGAAUUCCCGGUGUAGUGGUGAAAUGCGUAGAUAUCGGGAGGAACACCAGUGGCGAAGGCGACUUCCUGGCCUGUUCUUGACGCUGAGGCGCGAAAGCUAGGGGAGCAAACGGG
rnacentral:rRNA from 1 species